GUGGGGAAUAUUGGGCAAUGGGGGAAACCCUGACCCAGCAACGCCGCGUGAAGGAAGAAGGUUUUCGGAUCGUAAACUUCUAUCCUUGGUGAAGAUAAUGACGGUAGCCAAGAAGGAAUCCCCGGCUAACUACGUGCCAGCAGCCGCGGUAAUACGUAGGGGGCAAGCGUUGUCCGGACUGCUUGGGCGUAAAGGGCGCGUAGGCGGCCUGGUAAGUCUGGAGUGAAAGUCCUGCUUUUAUGGUGGGAAUUGCUUUGGAGACUGUCGGGCUUGAGUGCAGGAGAGGUAAGCGGAAUGCCCGGGGUAGCGGUGAAAUGCGUAGAGAUCGGGAGGAACACCAGUGGCGAAGGCGGCUUACUGGACUGUAACUGACGCUGAGGCGCGAAAGUGUGGGGAGCAAACAGGAUUAGAAACCCGGGUAGUCC
rnacentral:rRNA from 1 species